rnacentral:rRNA from 1 species
AUUGAACGCUGGCGGCAGGCCUAACACAUGCAAGUCGAGCGGAGCGGCGGACGGGUGAGUAAUGCCUAGGAAUCUGCCUGUUAGUGGGGGAUAACGUCCGGAAACGGGCGCUAAUACCGCAUACUAUCAGAUGAGCCUAGGUCGUAUUAGCUAGUUGGUGGGGUAAAGGCCUACCAAGGCGCCGAUCCGUAACUGGUCUGAGAGGAUGAUCAGUCACACUGGAACUGAUACACGGCACAGACUCCUACGGGAGGCAGCAGUGGGGAAGAUGGGACAAUGGGCGAAAGCCUGAUCAAGACAUGCCGCGGGUGUGAAGAAGGUCUUCGGAUUGUAAAGCACUUUAAGUUGGGAGGCGUUACCAACAGAAUAAGCACCGGCUAACUUCGUGCCAGCAGCCGCGGUAAUAC